rnacentral:SRP_RNA from 1 species
GCCGGGCGUGGUGGCGGGCGCCUGUAGUCCCAGCUACUCGGGAGGCUGAGGCAGGAGAAUGGUGUGGAACCCGGGGGGGCGGAGCUUGCAGUGGCGAGAUCUCGGCUCACUGCAAGCUCCGCCUUCCGGGUUCACGCCAUUCUCCUGCCUCAG